rnacentral:lncRNA from 10 species
UGACUCCUCGAAAGAUAUUCAUAUCAAACUCCUGGCAGCUAUGAAUGUGACUUUAUUUGGAAAAAGGGUCUUUGCAGGUGUAAUUAAAUGAAGGAUGUUGAGAUAAGGUGAUUAUUUGGGAUUGCUCAGGUUGGCCCUAAUUCGAAUGAUGAAUGUCUUUAUGAGAGAACGGCAGAGGGAGAUUUGAGACAGAUAGGAGUGAAAACACAGAGAGGAGGAGGAGGCAACGUGACCAUGGAAUAAGACAUUGGAGUGAAGUAGCCACAAGCCAAGGAAUGCCUAAAGCCACCAAAAGCUGGAAGACGCAGGAAAGGAGCCUCCUGGAGAGAUUUCUGAGGGAGCACAGCCCCACCGAUGCCAUGAUUUCAGCCUUCUGGUUCCCAGAAUUGUGAAAGAGUAAAUUUCUGUUGUUUCAAGUGGCCAAGUUGGUGGUAAUUUGCUACUGAAACCCCAGGAACCUGGAUACUAGCAGGAAGGAAGAGGAGGAGCAAGAAUGGAAGGCUUGUACCAACAAGUUCUUAUCCUUUUUAAUGAGGAAAACAAGAGCAUCCCUAUUCUGCUCUUAUCUCACCGAGUUCCAUGGCCAUUCUGAGCUGCAGUGGAGUCUUGGGAGAAUUUGUAUGUGUUGAAGUUGGUGGAUAGACAUGAGAAGCAGAUUGAGGGAUCUGUGGAAAGGGAGAGGAAGAGGAGGAGGGGGCUGUCAGAGGAGUAAUGGAUGCUAGAGGAAUGGAUUCCCUCCAGUGGACAUUUGGCUGGAUUCAAAGAACUUUGAAGCCCAAGGGGA